CAAAUAUUAAAUCUCUAACUCUCUUCUUAUGCAGAAUCGCCGCCUACCCUAUUUUCCCACCGCCUCACCUUCACCUUCACCCUCGUUGAAUUGCCUCCCAAUUUCUAUUUUCCCAUCCGCUUCGCCUUUGCCGAAUCGCCGCCAACGUCCCACUCGCAGAGUCGCACCAUCGCACACGCCUCAGCGGCCAGCGCCUCCCUGUGGUCGUGAGGCAAAACUGCAGAUCAACAUUCCGCCUGGCACACACCUACCUCAGCACCUCCCCAUAGCUGCAUGAAUGACUGCAGAGUGCAGACAAAUUGAAAGAAGGCAGUCUGACUCCGACAGAUGGCAAGCUUGAAUACAAUAGUUCGAAAGUCGUUAAUCUCCCAACUCGUAUCCCACAGGCCACAAGUUUGGCAAUCACCAAGGCCUGUUUAAGGCUUCUAGGCAGCCAGAUGCAAAACAAUGCGAUUAUUAUAUGAUGAGAGAUGCAAAACAAUGCGAUUAUUACAUGAUGAGAUUUAUGAGAUGACUUACUGAAGAAGUUGCAACGAUCUAUGGGGAUGCACUGCGAUCGAUAUUCAUAAAAGCAGAAUACUCUCAAGAAGAAAUUGAUAAAGUACGAUCCGAGGUAGCUAAAUGUAUACAUGAUUAUAUUUAUGAAUAGGCUUGAAUUCUAGACAGAGUAAUAUAAUUCAAAUAGUUUAAUGAUUUCAUAUACAUAUACUAGUCAAAUGCAAUUGGGAGCAACCAAACAAAGUUACGUGAGCUUGCAUUCAUAUACUAGUCAAAUGCCUCAUACUCCUAGCACUAAGGCACAGUCAAGCAGUACUGGAUUCUACAUCUAGGUAAUCCAGAAGUCAAAGGUGCUUUUGAUAGGGUCUCUAACUCAGGCAUCAGUCCAUCAGGUGCACAUAACCAAAGCACAAAAGUGCUGGAUAACUUAUGAUUUUUGUACUAUAGGACACUUCUUGAUGCUAUGUAUAUUUUUCCUUGUUUUUAUAUGUGUGAUACACCAUGAUUUGUUAGUUGGCAUGAACUGAACCAAGAUUUUUGAGAAAUGAUUGUUAGCGGCAGGAAAUAGAUGUGCUUGUUUAUUCCUCUAUGCUUAGAGCACUCGUUGCUUAGAGCCUAUUUUUUUUACCAAGCCUAUUUUUUUUACCAACGUUAAUGUUAGCGGAAGGAAAUAAAUGAACCAAGCCUAUUUCUUUUACCCUCUACUUAGAGCACUUCUUGCUUACAUUUAAACUUUAAUAGAUGUGUUUUUUAUUCCCCCUUUUUUUGUGAUGCUAUUGUUGUUAUUGAAUUGGAUUAAAAUCAUGUGAUUUUUAUUUUCACAAGAAGAUGUACAAGUGGGGAAAUUUGAUCUAACAAAGCAAAAUAUUUUGAAAUUCAUGUGUAAUUCUCUGUCUAUUGCAUAUACUAUUUAGUUUUAUAUACUUGGCUCAGAAGUUUAUGGAAUAUGGCUACAUACUUUUUUAGUUUAAUUGUUGGUACAUUACGAGUCUAUUGAUGGCACAUCCAUUGUAAUUUAUGCAUGUAGGUUUUUGAUCAAUGAUAGUUUGAUGAUAUUUGGAUUGAUUUUAUAUAAGGUUUGAUUGAUAUAUAUUUCAAAGUGUGUUAGCCCAAUAAUUUUUAAUUAUUUAAAUAAGUUAUCUUUUAAAUAUAAGACAACAAUUUUGUAAAUGUAUUAUUUAAAUAAAACAAUGAUUUUAAAAUGAUGCAAAACACAAAUAAAGGCAACAGUUUAAAACGGUUGUCAAAUUAUUACUUUUCAAUUGAAAACACAACGGUUUAAACAUGUUAUGAAAUUGUUUUCAAAAGCACUUAAAGAUAACGACUUAAAAUCAUUGUUUAACUAUUGUUGAUCAUGCUAAAAAGACAACGGUUAAAAAUUAUUAUUAAAUUAUUAUUGUUGACUAAAAGAUAAUGAUUUUUAACAGUUGUCUUUGAGUAACUCUUUUAAUAACACGUCUUUUAACAGUAGUUUUUUAGGCCUAUGACAACGGUGAAAAAUCAUUUUUUUUGUAGUGGGAGUUCGAUUUCAUUAAGAUACUAGUUAAUGUCUCUAUAUAUUGUUCAUUUUCUUAUCUCCAUACCUACAAUUUUGUAGGGAUUCUAACUAAAGUUUGGUUCAACCCUACGAAGAUUGCACUAGAGAGUUUAUCCAAGUUCUAAUGUCAUUAAAUAAAUAAAUAAUUCUAGAAAGUCUGGUUAAAGGGUUAUCCCAGUUAUACAAUUCUAAAGAUAUCUAUUGUAUUUCCUAAUGGUAGAUUAAUGUAACUAAGUAG